CAUUAUUCUGAAGCACUCUGUAGCAGGGAACUCCGGAAUGAUUUCGACCACCCGGGGUUUUUUACUCCACAUCCACUGCACGGUACACGGGCGUUUGGCCUCUCGCACCCGUCGAAAUGUGGGCGCCGCGCCUAGGAUUCGAUCCUGCGCCUUCGGGCUUAGGUGCGCAACGCCGCAACCAAAAUGCCAUCGUUGCAGGCUUGCCUGCGAUGAGGCCUGGGUGUCUGACGCGCCAUUUUUGUCGAAGAAAUUCAACGCUUCCUCGGGUAUGGUGGCCUGGCGUUCGACAUCCAUGGUCCUGAAAUUACGUGAAGAAACUCGG